UACAGAGGUCCCAAGCGUUGUUCGGAUUCACUGGGCGUAAAGGGUGCGUAGGCGGUCGGGUAAGUCUGACGUGAAAUCUCCAAGCUCAACUUGGAAAUGGCGUCGGAUACUAUUCGGCUGGAGGAAUGGAGGGGAGACUGGAAUUCUCGGUGUAGCAGUGAAAUUCGUAGAUAUCGGGAGGAACACCAGUGGCGAAGGCGACCAUCUGGACGGAUACUGACGCUGAGACGCGAAAGCGUGGGGAGCAAACAGG
rnacentral:rRNA from 1 species